CCUACGGGCUGCACCAGGGAAUCUUCGGCAAUGGACGAAAGUCUGACCGAGCAACGCCGCGUGAGUGAAGAAGGUUUUCGGAUCGUAAAACUCUGUUGUUAGAGAAGAACAAGUAGGAGAGUAACUGCUCUUACCUUGACGGUAUCUAACCAGAAAGCCACGGCUAACUACGUGCCAGCAGCCGCGGUAAUACGUAGGUGGCAAGCGUUGUCCGGAUUUACUGGGCGUAAAGCGAGCGCAGGCGGUCUUUUAAGUCUGAUGUGAAAGCCCUCGGCUCAACCGAGGAAGGUCAUUGGAAACUGGAGGACUUGAGUGCAGAAGAGGAGAGUGGAAUUCCAUGUGUAGCGGUGAAAUGCGUAGAUAUAUGGAGGAACACCAGUGGCGAAGGCGACUCUCUGGUCUGUAACUGACGCUGAGGCUCGAAAGCGUGGGGAGCAAACAGGAUUAGAUACCCGAGUAGUC
rnacentral:rRNA from 1 species